CGGAACGGGUGAGUAACGCGUGAGGAACCUGCCUCAAAGAGGGGGACAACAGUUGGAAACGACUGCUAAUACCGCAUAAGCCCACGGUGCCGCAUGGCACAGAGGGAAAAGGAGCAAUCCGCUUUGAGAUGGCCUCGCGUCCGAUUAGCUAGUUGGUGAGGUAACGGCCCACCAAGGCAACGAUCGGUAGCCGGACUGAGAGGUUGAACGGCCACAUUGGGACUGAGACACGGCCCAG
rnacentral:rRNA from 1 species